rnacentral:ncRNA from 1 species
GAAUUACAUCAAGAGAGAGCGAAAGCUCCACCAACCAGCCUAAUCGGGCAACGGUGGUUCAACGAUGAGACCGAAAAAGAAAUACUUAAGUAGGUAACAAUACGAUUGAGC